rnacentral:rRNA from 1 species
CCUACGGGUGGCUGCAGUCGAGAAUCAUUCACAAUGGGGGAAACCCUGAUGGUGCGACGCCGCGUGAGGGAAUGAAGGUCUUCGGAUUGUAAACCCUGUCAGUUGGGAGCAACUUAAACAGAGAGUACCACCAGAGGAAGAGACGGACAACCCAGGGCCAGCAGCCGCCGUUAUACGGAGGGAUCAGGCGUUGUUCGGAAUCACUGGGCGUAAAGCGUGCGUAGGCGGUUUUGUAAGUUAUGGGUGAAAGGCGCGGGCUCAACCCGCGGACGGCACAUGAUACUGGGAGACUAGAGUAAGGGAGGGGGAAGCGGAAUUCGCGGUGUAGGAGUGAAAUGCGUAGAUAUCGAGAGGAACACGAGUGGCGAAGGCGGGUUCCUGGACAUUAACUGACGCUGAGGCACGAAGGCGAGGGGAGCGAAAGGGAUUAGAUACCCGGGUAGUC